AGUAGGUGAAGGCAUUGGACAACCUAAAGCAUGUGAUCAGUCUACGUGUUUGUGUGAUGAUGAACCUAUAGGUAGAAAUAUGUCAAAUGUAUUCUGCAUUUCACAAUUAUCACUUUUCCUCAAAGUUCUGAGAUGUAAACACAGAAUAAAAAAUUUAAAAAAAAAACAAGAAUUGCAAGAUAUAAACUAAAAAUUGCAUGAGAAAAAAAGUUAGAAUUGCGAGAUAUAAAUUCUGAAUUCAUACUCUUUUCCUUAAAUUCUUAAUUUCCUUAGAAUCUCACACAUUUCAGUUUUUUGUUUCUACCAAAGGAUAAAAAUAAAAAAGGUAUUUCUCUUUUUUAAAUUAAAAUGUUCACAAUUUCAAAUUUAUUUCAAAGUUUGUCACGCAAUAAAAAAAACAAACAAAAAAACAACAACAACACAUAAUUCAGACAUUUUUCUUAUAACUGACUUUAUAUCUCACAAGUCUGCAUUGUGAGGUAAAAAGUAGCAAUAACCUUUUUAAUAUUUCUAUCCUAUAACAGAAACAAGCUUCCAUACUAAUCAGGAAUUUCAGAAAAUAUAAAAAUACAAAAUAAAUCAUCAGAGAAAAAUAUUCAGCUUAUGAGAAUGCAUUAAAUCUUUUCCAAUUCUCCUUUCCCCAGAAGUUCUGCAGAACUGCACGAUAAAAGGUACACCUGCUGUGCAUUAAUGCCUGAAACACUGAUCAAAUCAGUGCUGUCAGAGAUUAAGGAAAUGACUUCAUAUGUCAAACAUCAUUUGUAAAACGAUGAACUGUAUAAUGACCUUUGAUCCUUUGCUCUCCUUCCCAGAUUUUAAUGUGACCAUCUGCCCCUUCUACACCUCAGUUGAAAAGGAUUCGGACUUGACUUUGACCUGCAUUCAUAAUGUUCCCAACGCCUCCAUCAGCUGGCUAGAGGACGAUGUGUUACAGCAAGUAGAAGAUAAUACAAAAACAUUUCAUAUCAAGCGCAUUAAGAAAACCUCAGUCAUCAGCUGCAACGUUAGUAGCAUGUGUGGGAGCUUCAACUCUACGAUAACAAUUUAUGUAAAAGAUGGUGAUUUUAUGCUGGUUUUACUGAUCUGUGUUGGAGCAGCAGCUGCUCUCCUCAUGCUGUUUGCACUAGUCAUGAAGAUCAAGCUCAAGAAAGGACAAGCUCGGAGUCAGGCCAGGAAGAGACAAAGACAGCAGAACCUGCAGAACUUCGACAGCACCGUGAACACCGUCAGCAGCUACUACUGA
rnacentral:lncRNA from 1 species